rnacentral:rRNA from 1 species
UACGAAGGGGGCUAGCGUUGCUCGGAAUCACUGGGCGUAAAGCGCACGUAGGCGGAUCUUUAAGUCGGGGGUGAAAUCCUGGAGCUCAACUCCAGAACUGCCUUCGAUACUGAAGAUCUCGAGUCCGGGAGAGGUGAGUGGAACUGCGAGUGUAGAGGUGAAAUUCGUAGAUAUUCGCAAGAACACCAGUGGCGAAGGCGGCUUACUGGUCCGGUUCUGACGCUGAGGCGCGAAAGCGUGGGGAGCAAACAGG